rnacentral:rRNA from 1 species
GACGAACGCUGGCGGCGUGCUUAACACAUGCAAGUCGAACGGAAAGGCCCUGCUUUUGUUGGUUGCUCGAUUGGCGAACGGGUGAGUAACACGUGAGUAACCUGCCCUUGUCUUUGGGAUAACUUCAGGAAACUGGGGCUAAUACCGGAUAGGAUCUCCUGCUGCAUGUUGGGGGUUGGAAAGUUUCGGCUGUUGGGGAUGUACUGGCUGCUUAUCAGCUUGUUGGUGUGGUAGUUGCUUACCAAGGCUUUGACGGGUAGCCUGCCUGGGAGGGGAAACGGCGACAAGAGGACUAAGAUACGGACCAGAAUGGAACGGGAGGCAGUAGUGGGAAGUAUUACAGAAUAAGGGGAAGUCAGAGGCAGAAACGUCGCGAGCGGGAUGACGGCCUACGGGUUGUAAACAGAUUUGGCAUGUGACGAAGAGUGAGUGACGGUAAUGGGUAAAGAAGCAACGGCUAACUACGUG